CCUUUAUGGCAAAGUCACUGAUACCACGCUUCCAGGAAAAGCUCCUAAGCUUCAGCUUACGCAGACCGUACCGUAAACCGACACAGGUGGGUAGGAUGAGAAUUCUCAGGCGCUUGAGAGAACUCGGGUGAAGGAACUAGGCAACAUGGCACCGUAACUUCGGGAGAAGGUGCACCCUUUUUGGUGGCUCGUGCGAGCUAUAGCUGAAGAGGGUCGCAGUAACCAGGCCGCUGCGACUGUUUAUCAAAAACACAGCACUCUGCAAACACGAAAGUGGACGUAUAGGGUGUGACGCCUGCCCGGUGCUGGAAGGUUAAUUGAUGGGGUCAGCCGCAAGGCGAAGCUCUUGAUCGAAGCCCCAGUAAACGGCGGCCGUAACUAUAACGGUCCUAAGGUAGCGAAAUUCCUUGUCGGGUAAGUUCCGACCUGCACGAAUGGCGUAACGACAGCGGCGCUGUCUCCACCCGAGACUCAGUGAAAUUGAAAUCGCUGUGAAGAUGCAGCGUUCCCGUGGCAAGACGGAAAGACCCCGUGAACCUUUACUAUAGCUUUACACUGAACGUUGAGUUCGUCUGUGUAGGAUAGGUGGGAGGCUAUGAAACUGUGGCGCUAGCUGCAGUGGAGCCAUCCUUGAAAUACCACCCUGUCGUGCUUGACGUUCUAACCUGGGCCCAUUAUCUGGGUCGGGGACCGUGUAUGGUGGGUAGUUUGACUGGGGCGGUCUCCUCCUAAAGAGUAACGGAGGAGCUCGAAGGUACGCUCAGCGCGGUCGGACAUCGCGCACUGUGUGCAAAGGCAUAAGCGUGCUUGACUGCAAGAUCGACGGAUCAAGCAGGUAGGAAACUAGGACUUAGUGAUCCGGUGGUUCUGUAUGGAAGGGCCAUCGCUCAACGGAUAAAAGGUACUCCGGGGAUAACAGGCUGAUACCGCCCAAGAGUUCAUAUCGACGGCGGUGUUUGGCACCUCGAUGUCGGCUCAUCACAUCCUGGGGCUGUAGUCGGUCCCAAGGGUAUGGCUGUUCGCCAUUUAAAGUGGUACGCGAGCUGGGUUCAGAACGUCGUGAGACAGUUCGGUCCCUAUCUGCCAUGGGCGUUGGAGAUUUGAGAGGGGCUGCUCCUAGUACGAGAGGACCGGAGUGGACGAACCUCUGGUGUUCCGGUUGUCACGCCAGUGGCAUUGCCGGGUAGCUAUGUUCGGAAGCGAUAACCGCUGAAAGCAUCUAAGCGGGAAGCGCGCCUCAAGAUGAGAUCUCCCGGGGCACAAGCCCCCUGAAGGAACCAUGUAGACUACGUGGUUGAUAGGUCAGGUGUGUAAGUACAGCAAUGUAUUGAGCUAACUGAUACUAAUGAUCCGAGAGGCUUGACCAU
rnacentral:rRNA from 1 species